rnacentral:rRNA from 1 species
UCGGGAAUUUUGCGCAAUGGGCGAAAGCCUGACGCAGCAACGCCGCGUGAGGGAUGAAGGCCUUCGGGUUGUAAACCUCUUUUCUCAGGGACGAUGAUGACGGUACCUGAGGAAUAAGCCACGGCUAACUACGUGCCAGCAGCCGCGGUAAUACGUAGGUGGCAAGCGUUGUCCGGAUUUACUGGGCGUAAAGAGCGCGCAGGCGGUCGUUCAAGUCGCGUGUGAAAGCCCCCGGCUCAACUGGGGAGGGUCACGCGAUACUGAUCGACUCGAAGGCAGGAGAGGGUAGUGGAAUUCCCGGUGUAGUGGUGAAAUGCGUAGAUAUCGGGAGGAACACCAGUGGCGAAGGCGACUACCUGGCCUGUUCUUGACGAUGAGGCGCGAAAGCUAGGGGAGCAAACGGG